UUGCCACCUUAGUGAAUAGAAAAUAUAAAUUUGUCAAGUGUCUGCGUCUAUUUGAGUUCUUCAGCAACAUCCCUUCGGACUAGUCAUUCUCCAGAGCAAACAGUUUCCGAACUUUCAGAUGCAAAGCAACUGGUUUCAGAUGCAAACACAAUGUAAGAAGAAUUUGUCAAGACAUUUCAUAAAUUCAAGAAUAUCAUGUGAAAUUGUUUAUACACUUACCAGUAAAUUGUUGUUAGUGGUAUGGCUCUUUGAUAUUCCGCAAUGUGUCUUACCUGAAAUAAAAAAAAUACAAACUA